CAAUGCUUUUUGCUACACGACCAGGGAACGUAAGUAUGUCGGCAGAGUCACUGACAACUGGGAUCGCUGCGUACUACUUAGCGUUUUGAAGGCAUUUUUCUCACCAGAAGUCAUUACAAGUAGAGAUGACGAAUUCGAUUCCAGCGGCCUUCGCCGUGUUCUUCCUGAAGGUGACAUCUGGAGUAAACUUCCCUGUGACUUUGACAAUGUAAGGAGAAGAUAAGGAACCAUUUAAAGUGACAGUGUGAAUCACAGAAAGGUGGAAUCAUGGAAUCACAAUGUUGGAAACAGUGUACAAGAUGAUCCAGUGCAACUGUGUGUCACCAUAAGCACUCAAUCAUUGUGAAGCAUGUUGUCCAUGUGUCCCAUUGAGUGUGUCUGGAAAUGGGACUAUGUGUACAUAAUUGUGUUCUUAUUCCAGAAAUGGGACAAUUCAAUGAGAUGCAAUAAAAAGGUGUCAGUGUACAGAAGCACAUGAAGGUCUACAUCCAGAGACUGUUCUUGGAUGGAGCACAGUGGAACAGAGAAACUAAAAAGCAAGGAGAUUAUCAUCCAAAAACCCUCUGCCAUACGGUG